GGGCAGCAUGAAUAUUGGCUUGCCAAUAUUUGAUGGCGACCGGCGCACGGGUGAGUAACACGUAUCCAACCUUCCGGUUACUCGGGGAUAGGCUUUCGAAAGAAAGAUUAAUACCCGAUGUUGUGUAUCUUUCUCCUGAUUGAUACGCCAAAGGAUUCCGGUAACCGAUGGGGAUGCGUUCCAUUAGGCAGUUGGCGGGGUAACGGCCCACCAAACCUUCGAUGGAUAGGGGUUCUGAGAGGAAGGUCCCCCACAUUGGAACUGAGACACGGUCCAAACUCCUACGGGAGGCAGCAGUGAGGAAUAUUGGUCAAUGGACGGAAGUCUGAACCAGCCAAGUAGCGUGAAGGAUGACUGCCCUCUGGGUUGUAAACUUCUUUUAUACGGGAAUAACAUGAGGUACGGGUACCUUAUUGCAUGUACCGUUAUGAAUAAGCAUCGGCUAACUCCGUGCCAGCAGCCGCGGUAAUACGGAGGAUGCGAGCGUUAUCCGGAUUUAUUGGGUUUAAAGGGAGCGUAGGUGGGAUAUUAAGUCAGCUGUGAAAGUUUGGGGCUCAACCUUAAAAUUGCAGUUGAUACUGGUUUUCUUGAGUACGGUAUAGGUGGGCGGAAUUCGUGGUGUAGCGGUGAAAU
rnacentral:rRNA from 1 species